CCACCCGCUUCGCGGGGUCACCUGUCUAAGCCUCAAGCCAGUCGGGCUCAGGGCCAUUUUCCCACGGAGUAAGAACCAGAACGCCAGCUGCCCCAGCGGCGCUCGCACCAUCCACCCUUGAAAUUGCCGUAGAAGAGACAGAAACUGAAAACCAUGGUUUCAGGCUGCUAAAAACCUAACAUGAAACAAAACAGAAGAACAACAACAACAAAAUAAGGUUGCUGACCAGAACUCAACAGUGAGGGAAUUUACCUCCUGCUUCAUGCAUGCAACAUCAAAAUAGAAGAGUGACCUAUGGGAUCCAUGGAGGAGCUGCUUCCUGAAUCUGUGUAAAGUAGAUCUUGCCGUGUGGGUAACUGUGACUGCGGUGGCCAUGAAGAGGCACAACUCAGACCUCGGAUCUCCUGCUGCAGAGAACAUUGACUGACAGCCCAGCAGCUCCUGUCUGGAUCUACCACCUGUUCACAAUUCUGAAAUACAUUCAACGCACACUUUCCUACUGAGAUUUCUAAAAUGGGACUUGGAAAACAGAAAAAUACUAAAGUGGGGUACUAUCAUCUAAAUCUCCAAAAAGGUCAUUCAACUCUGAUCCCUGUUUAAAGAGAGAAAAAAGGAAUAAAGGAGCCUUUGAAGGCAGAAUAUUGCUCACUCAUCUCUUUGAAAGGACCUCAGACUGCAGAGCAGAAGAACCACUGGCUACAUCAGCUGGGGCAGAGGGGGAUGAAGAGAACAUCAUGAUGCCUGCAAAAAAGUGGGCUCUGCAGGAUCUCCAGUCACCUCCCUUCCCUUCAGAUCCAGAGCUCUCUCUGGCUAGGACCUUCCAGAGUUCCAGAAUUUUUGUUCCACCUUCCAUUGCUCACUUCUAUUACUAUUACUAAGAUAUUCACAUGGAAUUCUGUGCAAACCAUUUUUUUUUUCUUUUGGUGCCCUCUUUGUUUUACUUCCUCUAUUGGGACUAAUGGCCAUCUGACUUGGGGGUCCUUUGUUUUUUGUGACAAACCACCCUCAGCAGAUUUCCUUGAGGUCCAUUUGCUCAAGGGCCUUAAAGCUUUUUGGAGUAAUACAGAGUAAGUUUCUAGACAGCCUCUUGUGCUCUGCAGUAAGCUAAAGUGGAAGAUUAAGAUGCCUGGUGUAUACUGUGUGUUUCCCAUGUAAUGGCAGAAAAGGAAUGGGGCUCAUUAGUUACUUUAAGGUGGCAGCAGCUACCUUAGAGAAGACUGCAUUGCUUGUACUGAUUCAAAAGAGCACCUAAUGAAGGGAAAAAGCAGAAAUAAGCCAAGACUUGAGCUGAGUGAUUCGUUGAAUCAGCCAAGGAUAAUGUUCUUCAGGCACUAUGCACAUGUCACUGAUCAGUAGCGCUUCUCUUAAGCUUCAACAGCACUCACUUCCCCUGUCUUGAUGAGGUGAGCAGCACAUUUAAUUUCAGCUCCUGGGGCCAUCUGCAAACCUCUACUCCAUUCCUCAGCUGUGUUUGCUCCUCUGUUCUCAGGGAGCAGCAUUUUCACUGGAUGCAAACUGUGAGGCACUGUCUGGGCAAGCAGAUUGGUUACUAAUGAGGAAACUGGCACUGACAGCCUUUUGGGUUCUGAUUGAAGAAAAGAGAUGUCUUCGCAUCAGAAUGGUUUAACUUUCAAUGUGGCAUAUCAACUGGUUGAAAUUAGGGAGAGAGAGAAAGAGAAAUUUAAUUGUCAGGCUGUGGUGCGUAGUGUCAAAGCUACCUAGAUUAUGAGAAAUACGUCUUUUCAACAGCUUAAAGGCCACAGCUCUCAACAUUUUUUCUGCAUGUACAACACAGACAGGAUCCAGAAAUCCCAGCCUAUAACUCUUGGUUCCGUCAAAUACUCAACAGAGAAAACAGAAGUAUUUGAUUGUGGUAUUAACUAUGAAAUGUUCCCUAUUAGCCAUAUGAUUCUAUUAGCUCAGCUCAUUCCUGUUAGAUUUAUAGAAACAUUAGAGAUAAUUGGAAUUAGAAGGGCCAAGAGAGACGAUCCAAUCCCAUAUAGAGAAAAGCAAGACCCCUGCUCUCACUGAAGAAGUUUUAAAAAUAAUUAAACAACAAACAAACAAAUUGAGGCCCAGAGAGAUGAAGUAAUUUGACUGAUGUAUUCCAUCAGUGACAGACCUGGGACUGGAGCUCCAUCUCAGCUCUCAGCCCACUAAGAACCCUGUUCAUGGUGCCAUACUAGCAACCCCCUUCCUGUAGGAGUCUUUGAGAGUCAGAAUGACUUCUUGACUGAGAGGUACAUGUCUCUAGGAUAAGGACAAUUGAGGGGAUAAUGAGGAAAGAAAUAAUGUAAGUUAACUAUAUUUUGCCACAUGCCCUCCUCUCUCCAUGAAUCCAGGAUGUUGACCCAUAUCCAGCAUCCAUUGUGGGACUAAGUCUCGGACACCAAGGACUUCUAAGGAGCCUGCUCCAAUCUGAAAUGACUGUGGGGGAGCUGGCCAUUCCCCGAGCCAUUCUUGGAAUAUUGGGCCACAGGGGCCACUGGGGAGCAUGUAUAGGUAGGGGCGGCUUUGAUAUAAGCCUAGGUAUUCAAUUCUUCAUGGGACCCCCAAUGCUACCCCAAGUCUGCACCUUGAUUCCCAAAUACCCAAGAGAGACAAAAUGUCCUACUUUCUCUCUGAAGUUCUUCUAAUGUUGGAAGACCUAGGGUGGAGGCAAACCUUUCAGAGAAUUUCUGCUGGGAUUUAAAUGUAUGUCUAGCUGGCUUUAGACAUUAGAAGACUGUAAUAUGUACCUUAAUAAGUUGCCUUUCCCAUGGUGUUUGUUAUCCUCAGAAGACCCCCAUAGUGACUCUAGGAGACAAUUCUCAUAUCUUCUGAACUGUGCAUGUUCAUAGUUUUUCUGAGCAGGGUUUGCAUCUAGCAGCGAUGGAGGUAUAGGAGGUCACAGGCAACACUGCGUGCCUCACACAACAUUGUAGAUCAAGACACAGUUAAAUGGGCUGGCAAUUCUGAGUUUCUGAGUCCAGUCCCAUGACUAGUAUAGCUGUCAGAACUAGAGGGGCCAACCCUGGGAAUCUUGGAGAUGCUUUAUGAAUAUAUGAGAUUUCAGGCAUCCAAGCUCUUCUAUUUGUUUACAUGUAUUCUCAAUGUCUAUCUCCCAUUAUCAAAUCUAUUCCAAAAGUAUUUUUUCAACACUUGCUGGAGACUCUUGGAUAAAGCUAGUAAACGUGCUUUUAUUAAGCUCCAACUCUGUGCUGACCACUUAUACAUAUAUUGUCUCAGUUGCACUCAAAAUGCUAUUGUGUGUUAGGGUUCUUUCUUACAGAUUUUGAAACAGUGUCUUGGAGAGGUUAGGUGAAUUGCUCAAAAGACGCAGCAAGCACAGAGCUGUGACUUGGUCCUGUCUUAUCUGCUUUGGGGUUAUGGGUAGUUUAUCUUUAUAUGCCUAUUUUAACAGUAGACCCUCAACCACUGAAAUUGACAGGAAAAAGUAUGUGGUUGUUUUACCAAACAAACAAACAGACAAAAAACCAAACCCACCAAACCUGAAAUUUUUGGUUUGGUCAACAUUUUAAUUCAACUGUACUCAAUGUAUUAACAAUGGUGAUUUGAUAUGAUGGAUGUAAUUGAUAAUCAAUGCAGUGCCAUUUAUAGACUGCCUAAAAGUGCAUUGUACAUCAUUUUGACAACAUAUUUACCUGCAUUGUUUGGGCAAAAUGAAUUUUAAAAUUAUUUUUUGUUUCCUAAAUUUGUAUCAAUUGAAAAAAAAAAAGUCAUCUGGGUAGCAGACAGAAGUCAGCCUGGGACUACAGUGGGUCAUAACCCUGAGGAUUCAAAUGUGGGCAAUGGCAACAACAUCAGCGACUAAAGCUGUCAGUGGAGAAAAGAAGAAAGCACACGCCAGCCACCCUGCAGAACAAUGCAGUUCUUUCAGAGUCACAUAGUCCUAAAUCUGGAAACCAUCACAGCUGAGAGGAUAAGCUUUGGAACCCGAUAGUGGUCUAAAACUAGGCUCUGCCUGCCAUGGACAAACUACAAGAGACUGGGAAGUGAGUUAAACCUGAGCUAAAUCCCAGUUUCCUUCUCUGCAAAACAGGGAGUGGGGACAGUGGAAUAACACCUCCCUCAUAGAACUGUUGGGAGGCAUAAAUGACCCUCAGCACAGGGUGGUGUGUAUGGAAUGUGCAUCAUAAGUGGCAGCUAUUUUGAUAAUUACUAAACAUGAUGAAUGAUGAUAAGCGAAAUAAUAACACAGCUUUUCAACAUUUUCACUCAAUAAGUUAAAUUUAUAAUAGGCAAGCAAAGGAGUUUCCAGAAUUAAGCAUCUGAUGGGAGCUUAGACAGGUUGACUUUUACAGCUCAUUCUAACCCUGAGUGAGGGUCUGUGAUUUUAUAAGCCCUUUUAGGGUUCGAGUGCUACUUCUAAUCAAGAUCCUGGUAUCAUGUUUUUCUCCAUUACGUGGAACAAUAAUGAAUAGAUAAAUAAAAUAUAACUGGGAAAGGAGAACACAGAUUGAACACAUGCAUUUAUCUCCACUCUUGUCCAAAACCUCACAGUAAAAUAAUUUAAAAUACAUGAACCUAUAAGAACAAGAGAGGGGAGAUAUGAUGAAAGAGAAAACCAAAAUUUUGGAAGUUGGAAAAAAAUGGAAGGCUGGUUAGCCAAUUAGGGACAGUAGAAAGCUGCAUAUCUGUAAGGCACAUGCUGCCAAGAGAGAAAAGCAAGGCAAUUUGGAUGUGGAACCUCAGACAGGCUUAGAAUAGGAAACAGAUCCAUGAGUCAUGACACUGUGGUUGAGAUUUCUGCUUUAGCCAUUCCAGCGUAUGCUUGUUUUUCCCUAAAAGUCUUUACUCAUUUGUUUUCUCUCUUCCGCCCAGUGAACAUCUACUCAUUCUUCAAAACCCAGAACUGUUGUUGUUUCUUGAAAAAUGGAGAUUAUUCCAAAGUUCUUUUAGCCUUUGCAAUGUGAAGGCAUGUGUCAGGGUUGGGAGGAGUUGGGGAACAGCACCUCUUUCUUUUAACGUCCAAUUGAUUGAGGCCAAUGGGUCAUCCUGCCUCCUUCCCUAAAUAUUCCUGAGAAUGCUCAGAGAGGGCCCACAUGUUCCCUAAGUCCAUUCUGGUUACCCUGUGUGCCUUCUUGCUCUGGUCUGCUGCUCCCAGCUUCUUCACGAUCACUUGUGAUCAUUUGCUAGCCUUUUUUUAGUCCAUUUUACUCCAAAGCAAGAAUACAGUACUUGCUCCUUACUCUCCAAUGCUUACCAAUGCAACAACAAGAGGUAAUAGUAUUUAACAAAUUUUGAUACGGAGGAAAGGAAAACCUAAAAUAAGGUACCAUGUAUCACUAUUCCUGAAUUCUGUCAUCAUGUCCCUUUAAAGGCAGUGCUCUAUAGGUUCCGUCUCUCCUGUGGCCCCAGCCUGCUGCCACUGGAACAAGGGUCCAGGGUUCUUAAUGCACGGAAGUCUUCAUCUUAUCCCCCACAAAUCUACAGCCAAAAGAAGGAAAUACCCAUUGAUGACACGAUAGACAAUAUAACAGUUGACAAGAUAAUUGAUACAGCGUGCCCAAUGUGAAGAGAGAAUUUGUCACGGCUAGAGUAGUGAACCUUCUCCAGGUGAACCAUCUGCCGUUGGAAGCUUCCUUUUGUCCAGGGCUCCUGCAAGGCCAGUGAGUAGGUACUUCUAUCUACACAUGACUGAAAAAGACUUACCAAAACCAAUAUAUUCCCAAGGAUACUUUCUAAAUUCUACCCAAGGAGCAGAUGCUGCUCACAAUUCUCUAAAACAAGGUCUUUUUUUUUUCAACCCCAGAUAUAUCAAGAAUGGGACACAAUCUCCGAGGAAGAAAUUGUCAGCAUCUAUCUUGAAAAUAUCUUUGGUUUCCCAUUACAUUUCGGAUUUCUCUAGACCAUAUUUGUAGUUCCCUUUUUGGUGUUCCCAUUCUUGUAAGUUUAUAUAAACAGCAAUAAGACUAUAGCUCUUCUCACAGGAUACUUUGUUAUUUCUUAAUGGGACUGUCUGUCCUGUAGGCUAUGAGCUAUUUGAGGGCAAAGAAUAUUCUAUUCAUCUUUAUAUUCCUGGCACAUGGUAGGCACUCAGUAAUGCUGCUGCUGAAUUGAAUCGGCUGUGGGAAAAAAACAAAUGCUUCUCCUCAGUCAGCAUUUGUUUUCUAGGAUCUAUUCCAAUAUAUUUCCAACAAAAAUAUGAGAUUUAAAAGAUAGGCAGAGAGUGAAUUGAACUGAAUAUUGCACAAAAACUCCUUGUCUUUAAAGGUGGAAACAAAAUCCACCACCUUCCCAAGAUAGCUGUUCUGUCUCACAUCUUCUUGAAGCAAUGAAAUGAUGAGUACUGUGAUCAGAGAGGACCCUCAGAAAAUAAAUAAAAACCCAGCUCUACAAAUGCAGCCGUAAGCCAGGAGGAUAUGACGAAGGAUAUCAUUAUCAUCCUGAUAUUUUUAGAAGUUCUUUGGUGACAGGUCAGAUUUUUGAGAAUCAGAAAAUGAUAAAAAUAAUCUUGUUAUUCCACAAAGGAGGCUCUAUAUAUAUCAGGCCGAUUUUGAACACUGCCUGAGAAUGUUGAGAAAAUAUUUUUAAAUGUUAGUGAAAUGAUAGGCUUUGGGGGCAGACCCAGCCUCGCUUUAGAAAAAGCUUUAUCGUGGGGGGAUUGAGAGAUUUUAGUGAUGUGAGCAUUGUAAAGAAUCAGCAGUGAGUGGGUGUAAGUUUUUGUUUUCCAAUUUUCCAGAGGAGGGUCCACCUGGGAAGAAUUUCAUGAAAUUUACAGAAAUCUGAAAAUUGCUUUUGAAGCUAUUACAGGUACCUGGGGAGUCCUCCUUGGCCCCACAGGCUGACUACACUAUCCAGAUCUUAAGGGACUCUCAUCUUUCCUAACUUCUAGGUUGCAGGAUUCUGCAGAAUUACUUCUGCAGCUUCCAUUUGUAGCUAUUGCUAAGUGGACCCAUAGCUAUAUGGGAUGUGGGGCUCUGGAUUUCAGGUAGAAAUGACCCUUUGUUUAUUUGAGAUGUUUGCUUCUUUAAAUACUCAGCCAUCUGACUCUCUAAUUGUUUAGGAUUAGUCAUAAGUUAAGUAGGACAGGGAAGAUGUUAUAAAUAGUUUAUUGCAUAUCCAUUCAAGAAAUUUAGGCUAAGUUUAUAUAUUUUACCUUCUGAAAGGAGAAAGCCUGUGUGUUUAUUUAAAGCAUUGUAGAUUUUUUCUCAUUUAGAAUAUAUGAGUCUAGUAUAAAAAUUGAUUCUAGAUGAUUUAUAUGUAAGUUGCUCUUUUCUUCAUACUUAUUUUGCUACCUUUUUAUUUCAUGUUUUUUCUUAAGUAUGACUUUGAGCCUUUAAAAGUAUUUCCUUUAUGUCUCUUUUGAAUAUCAAAAACAACAUGAAUUAAAAAUAGAAGUCUACAUAUCAA
rnacentral:lncRNA from 1 species